rnacentral:rRNA from 1 species
UACGGAGGGUGCAAGCGUUAUCCGGAUUCACUGGGUUUAAAGGGUGCGUAGGCGGACAGGUAAGUCAGUGGUGAAAUCUCCGGGCUUAACUCGGAAACUGCCGUUGAUACUAUCUGUCUUGAAUAUCAUGGAGGUAAGCAGAAUAUGUCAUGUAGCGGUGAAAUGCGUAGAUAUCGUUUGGAACGCCAAUGGUGAAAACAGGUUGCUGGGAGUGUGCUGACGCUGAGACACGAAAGCCAGGGGAGCGAACGGG